rnacentral:rRNA from 1 species
GUGGGGAAUAUUGCACAAUGGGGGAAACCCUGAUGCAGCCAUGCCGCGUGUGUGAAGAAGGCCUUCGGGUUGUAAAGCACUUUCAGCGAGGAGGAAAGGUCAGUAGCUAAUAUCUGCUGACUGUGACGUUACUCGCGGAAGAAGCACCGGCUAACUCCGUGCCAGCAGCCGCGGUAAUACGGAGGGUGCAAGCAUUAAUCGGAAUUACUGGGCGUAAAGCGCACGCAGGCGGUUGGAUAAGUUAGAUGUGAAAGCCCCGGGCUCAACCUGGGAAUUGCAUUUAAAACUGUCCAGCUAGAGUCUUGUAGAGGGGGGUAGAAUUCCAGGUGUAGCGGUGAAAUGCGUAGAGAUCUGGAGGAAUACCGGUGGCGAAGGCGGCCCCCUGGACAAAGACUGACGCUCAGGUGCGAAAGCGUGGGGAGCAAACAGGAUUAGAAACCCCAGUAGUCC